rnacentral:ncRNA from 1 species
CGGGGGUACCGGGAGAAGUCCUGGUUGAGAUCAGACCCAUUGAACCUGAUGCGGGUAAUGCCGCCGAAGGGAAGCGUAAU